rnacentral:tRNA from 1 species
UGUGGCUUAGUUGGUUAAAGUGCCGAUCUGGCGAAUACGGAUUUGUGGGUUCGAAUCCCACCA